GAGCUGCGCGCUGAGCUCCCGCUCUGCUGCGUGGUCCGGGCACAGAAUGCCUUCUACUCCCGUGACUUUAGUACCCUUAGAAUGAGUUCGUGGCUUUAGCAAUUCCUGUGUUUCUAGCUCUCUGGAAGGCAUAUUCCAGGACAGGAAGACACGUAAUUGAGUUUCUAUUCGGAAAUGAGGGGCUCCUCUCUGAGCAGCUAUUUUUCUACAGCAGGGAAUGAAAACUUGAUCUGGCUCAAGCUCCAGAUUAUGUCCAAAUGACUUGGUAGAGAAGAAAAAUUCUUCAGUCUUCUAUCUUUCAACAAAUUCUGCUCAAGACACAGUGAAAAAUGGCCAUCUAGGAAAUGAGUUCUCGGCCAACACACCAAAUCUACCAGCACCAUGCUCUUGGACUUCACAGCCUCCUGAACUACAAGCCAUCCAGUUAAUGAUACUUCUGUUAUAGCAAAGUCAGUUGGGAUUUUUCUUACGGACUGGAGUAAUGGUGAGACACCACCACUCUUACACAUGAGGAGACUCAAGAGAACAAGAUCUAGCAUAAGAGUGGAGACUGCAGGUUUACAGAAAAGGCAUAGAAAACCUUAGGACACCAGUAGAUAGAGACAUCAAUAUUUUUAAAUUUUUUUAUUGUUUUAUUAUUUAUUUUUGAGAGAGAGAGACUAAAUGCGAGUGGCGGAGGGGCAGAGAGAGAGAGACAGAGACAGAGACAGAAUCUGAAAUAGGCUCCAGGCUCCAAAUUGUCAGCACAGAGCCCAAUGAGGGGCUCAAACUCUGGAACAGCGAGAUCAUGGAACAGCAAGAUCACGAUCGGACGCCCAACCAACUGAGCCACCCAGGUGCCCCAAGACAUCAAUAUUUUUAAAUUUUAUAUUUCAAGUAGAAAUAGAAGACUUUCUGAAUAGCAUUGAGGGCCUAAAUAUGAUUCAAUACCAUGAAGCACCGGGACACUAACGAUAUGUAUGGUUACAUUCAUCAGUAUGGUAGUGCGGGAGAAAAGGAAGUACUGGGGUAAUUCAGUGUUGUGGUACCCCACCUUUACUUGACCCAAACAAAUCCUCAUUAAACUCAUCCAAAUCCAAUCAUAUUGCCUCAUUCCUUUUGUUAUAAAUUGGCUUAGAGUUGCUCAAAGAGAUGUGAAAGGCCUGAAGGGAUGUGGAGCUUCUGGGAAAGUUUCAUAAUUCUUAAGAAGAGAUAAACAGAGAAAGCUAAUGCUUUUUUUCCUCCUCUGUUUUGCUUAAUCUGCCAGUGACACUUAAAACCUCAGCCAUUAUUUUGUAACUAGAAGAAUAUGCUGAGGAUGGCAAAGAAAGAGGAUGAUGGAGCCGUAUCUUUGAUGACAUCAUUACAUCUCUGA